AAAUGGUUCUGCGUGGAGGGUGGCACAGACAUUAGGUAAAGGUGUACUAGAGCAUAUCAUUUCAACACAGACACCUGAAAACAUUGGAUGCCUUAAUUCAUCGUUACUUGUUUUAAAAUGUGCUAACUUAAUGAUGGCAGGGAUAAUAGGAAAUCAAGGAGAGAGUAAAGUUGAAUAGAACCAAAAAUGUGCUAAGAGUCUGCGAAAAGCCUUCAUGUGUAAGCAUGGAUAGUAAAGAAGAAGUCAUAUUCCUUAAACACCUUGAAAAUCAUGCACCUGGUCCAUCAUCAGGGGAAAUGUUCACUUUUGCAGAAGUUUGUCCCUCAUGGUAGGAAACAGAUGGUGGACACUCAGAGGCAUGAUCUAAUGGUCUCCCAGGUUUGAGCAUGGACAUCCAUCACCAGUCUGGUUGGGAAGGCACUGCCGAGUGUGAAUGCUGGCUUGCAUGGCCCCACCAGGCCAGGGAAGAAGGACAGGCAGCUGGUGACUCCUCCAGAGCUGGCUACUUGUAUUCCUGUAUGUCCACGAUGGCCCAGGCCCAAGAGUUUUCCAAACUGAAGAGAUUCCUUGGAUUAACAUCCCUCAAGUAAUCUUUCUGCAUCUUAAAUUCGAGUCUUCAUCAGCCAAGUGUCUUCCAAUAUUUUCUCUUAGUAUGUAACUCACCUUUUCCCUCCCUUGACAGAGCCUUUCCUCGGUGAGAAAUGGACUCUGAUGGGUAGUUUCUUACUCUUUCUUUUUUACUUUUAGUAAAAGGUAUAUUUUAUAGAUUUAAAUUCCUUAAGAUUAAAAAUUAAAUGAUUAAAAUAUUCUAUUUUGUGUUGUCUUCUGGUAGUUUUGUUGUUUGGGGGUUUUACAUGUAGUUCUAAGAUCCAUUUGAGUUAAUUUUUGUGGAAUGGAUAAGGUCUCUUGUCUAAGAUUAGUUUUGUGUGUGCAUGCACAUGCACGUGUGUGUGUGUGUGUGUGUGUGUGUGUGUGUAUCUGGAUGUUGAAAAAGAUAGCCUUUCUCUCACUGAGUCACCUGUGUUUCUUUGGCAAAAAUGCAUUGAUGCCAUCUGUAGAGUUUUACCCUACCUGUCCUGUUCUGCUGAUCAGCCAGUCUUCUAACGAUCCAUCCUGUCUUCUUUACUGUAGCUUCAUGGAAGUGUUAAAGUUGUCCAAAUUGAGUACUGUCAUUUCUCUGGUUUUUCUUUUUUCUGUCUACAUCUUAUUGAUCACUGAGAUCUUCUAACUUUUAUGUAAACUUUCUAAUCAAUGUGUCAAUAAUCUCUAGAUUCUGGUUGUGAAUGCAUUAAAUCUGUAGAUAAACUUGGGAAAAACUGUUAUCUUGUCAAUACCAAGUCUCUAAUACAUGAACAUGGUGUUGCUUUUUGCUUGUUCACAUAAUUUUUUAAAGUUAUCAGUUUCUCCAUAUAUACAUUUAGAUUUAAAACUAAAGUAUUGGUGUUUUGGUGCUAAUGUGAAGUUGUAUUCUUAAUGAUAGAAUUCAAUUAUUAUUGCUGGUAUACCUGUAAAAAUUGACUUCUCUGUAUUGACCUUGUGCUUCUUUAUAAUUUCAUAACAAUAUUUGGUAUGUAUUUUGUAGGGGGAUUUAUUAAUUCUCUAAUUGGUUCUAGAUUAUAUCAGUAAAGGAGGCAAAAACCUAUUGCCGGGCAAAGAAAAAAAGAUGGGACUUCCAGUCCCAGGAAAAAAAGAAGGGGAUGAGAGGGAGGAGGCAGAGCAGGUGGCUGAGCAGAGGAAGCAGCAGACAUGUAGGUCGCAGGGCACCUAUAGUUUGUAGCCUCCACCAUGGACAGGCCCAGGAGGAUGGGCAGGCUAUUCUUCGCCCAGACAUUGAACUAUCUGGCUACUUUUAAAAUAUUAAGGCUCUCUGGUGUUUUCCAUCCAUGGUGACUAAGAUGGGCAGGACAAAGGGCACAGCAGGGGCUGUCAUUGGCUGCUUGGUGGAACUAGCUGUAAGAGGUUGAGGGAGCUCUGGUUGAGCUCUUAAGAAAGAGCAAGCAUGUUUUUAAAAUUACACACAACACAUUCAUUGUCCUUUGGAUGUAUCUGCAUAGAUAGUUGAUUCUUUUGAUGUUGUUUCUCUCUCUCUAUUAAGAGACCUUCAUAAUUGGUGCAUCUACUUUAUAUACUCAUUUAAUUCAUUAUACAUUUUCAUUGUCUUUUGGGGAAUGUAAUUUCAAUAGCAAAAUUGACAUUCUAAAAAUCCUGCCCUAUUUGUAAGCCAGGUGGUAAUAAUGGAUCAUUUACUGUUUUUGUCUUGCAUUUUUUUGUAGCGUUUUAUUGAAAACUGAUAUUUUACAUAAUAUGUCGCUAUUAUAAACUCACUCCUUGUAAGAAAACUUGUUGGAAUUAGUCUUCAGAAACUGUUUUUUUCCCUGUGCUAUAACUAAAAUCUGUGUUCAAUUUUUGUAUCUUCAGUUAUGCUUUCAAUCUGUCUUCCUAAGCGAUCACCCUCAUGAUUGCUUGAUUCAGUGGUUGACCAAUGGCUGGGUACAGCUACACUCAAAGACCUCAAGCCAUGGAAUAUCCAUUUCCGUGUGCCUAUUGUGAGCAUGGCACAACUCUUGCAUUCAUGCUCAGUUUUGAGUUUCCUCCCUCAGGUUUUGUGGUACAGAUGCACAGCUCUCUCUGAGUCUUUCCCUUUCCCUCUGAGCUUUCUCUACUGCACUUCUUGCUUGCCCAGUGCUUAUGUAACCAGGACCAUGCCUCAAGCUGCAGAAAGGCAUUCUUCACGACGACUUCUGUUUGCUUUUAUAGUCAAGACCCUUAGCGUGGCUUUUCCCUUCCAUUCCACAUCAAGUUGGCUGCUCCCGACAGUUAAACAGCACGUGGACACAGUCAGCUCCACUCUUGUGGGAAAACAGUGACCACCAUGCUGCUGUUCAUUGUGGGGCAAUGAGAUUAAUCCCAGGAGUGAAAGUCACAAACCCAUGACCAUACAGAUGGCCCCAUUAAAUAUGGUGGUUCACAAAAUAAAACAAAUAGAUGUGAAUUUGAGAACAAAUUGUGUAGGGAAGAGGAUUAUCAGGGGUGAAAGAGAUAUGGAAAAGAAUAGUAGACAAGAAUGGUAGACAAGAAUGGCCAAUGUCCAUCAUAUGCAUGUGGUGAAACUGUCAAUAGCAAAGUUAAUUAAUAAUAGUAAAAAUCGAUAAGAACAUCCUGGGAAGUUUAAACCUUUAUCUUGAAGAAUUAAGAAGGCAUAUUGGUUGUGUGUGUGUGUGUGUGUGUUGUUUUGUUUUUGUUUUUGCUUUUCCAUGCAAACAGGCAGAAGACAUUUUCUAGCAUACUUUACAAUGACAGAGCAACUUUAAUGCUAGGUCCUGGUCUGAAGAAUGGAGUGGAAGUUAUGUUGCUAUUUCUAGACUACAAACGUUCCUGACUGCCAUGCAAGCUCUUUUUUUCCAUAAAAACUGCAUAGGUUGCAUGAUAGAAAAAUAUUAUUUAAAGCACCUCCAAAAGAACCACCCCACCAUGGUUCAACUUUUAUAUCAGUAAUAAAUUUAUCUUUGUUUUUGUAAGUUACUGGCUCCUUCAGGUUGAUUAUUAUAGCAGUUAGAUGUAACUACUGACUAAUGACAAAGAGGCCAAAGCACAUUUGCUCUCUUAUAAAAACAGUUUGGAGGAUCUAGAAAAUUCUACUCUUACCUUAAAAUGUUUCCUUUUAUAUCACAUUUCAUAUUUUACUCUUCUGCCUUUAACAGUUCAGAAGUUGGGGCUGGAGAGAUGGCUCAGUGAUUAAGUAUACUGGCUGCCCUCCCAGAGGACCUACAUUUGGUCCUUAGUGCCCAUAUGGGGGCUCACAAUGUUUAAAAUUCCAGAAAAGCUGAUGCCCCUUUCUAGAUUCCACUGGUACUGUAUGCCAGUGAUGUUCAGACAUACUUGCAAAAAAAAAAAAAAAAA